UGGCGUGGGCGCAAGCCUGACCGCCUGCCGCGUGAGUGAAGAAGGCCUUCGGGUUGUAAAGCUCUUUUGUCAGGGAAGAAACACCGGCUCUAACACAGUCCGGGAAUGACGGUACCUGAAGAAUAAGCACCGGCUAACUACGUGCCAGCAGCCGCGGUAAUACGUAGGGUGCAAGCGUUAAUCGGAAUUACUGGGCGUAAAGCGUGCGCAGGCGGUUAUACAAGACAGGCGUGAAAUCCCCGGGCUUAACCUGGGAAUGGCGCCUGUGACUGUAUAGCUAGAGUGUGUCAGAGGGGGGUAGAAUUCCACGUGUAGCAGUGAAAUGCGUAGAUAUGUGGAGGAAUACCAAUGGCGAAGGCAGCCCCCUGGGAUAACACUGACGCUCAUGCACGAAA
rnacentral:rRNA from 1 species